ensembl:lncRNA
CUGUUUUGUGAGCUGGCGUUUAGCGACUAGCGAUUCAACAAGACGAAACGCUAUGCGCUAAACGCUGGCCGUGGAUGGUCAUCAAAACACCGUAUGAGGAAUUGUGAACAUCCUUUAUCCAAAGGACAUGGUAGAUUACAACUCAACUCAAAUGUUGAACUGCACAAUUAACAAUGAAAAUUACGGCUCCUGGAAUUGGGACUUCAUUGCAGGAAAUAAUACCUACGUUCUGAAUAAUGGAACCAGCAUUACCAUCACAUCCACGGCAGCUUGUACCACAGUCCAAAUUAACAGUUUGUCAGGAAUGUGGGCAGAAGGGAUUUAUAAGUGUGGAUUUUCCAGUGGGUCCAUUGUGCAUGCAGCCACUGCAGAGCUGAAGGUAGCCCUGCUACCCGAUACGAUCUCCAUGACGAGCGACCCACUGACAGUCGAAUGCCCAAAGGAUGUUAUGGUCAAUGCAACCAUUCAAAACAGCCCUGAGAAUUACACUGUAACGUGGACAUUAAACCAAGUACCAGUUACAUCCCAAACACCAUCAGUCCAAACAGAUGGACAAAUCACCUACCGCCUAAAUUCAAAGAUAACAUGCCAACAACCAUCUACAAAUGCUAUUAUUAUCACUGUAAAUUUUAUGAACCAGAAGAACAAGAACAAGACUCAAAAUAUAAUUAUCCCAGUGAUUGAUGGUA